AUGGCUGCGAAUCACCAAUCGCCUUGGAGGAAAAGAAAAGAAAGGAAAUCUCAUCUUCAUUGCAAAGAAGCCAGCCCAGCCCACGUAAUUCUCAGGCUCCAUGGGCCGUCUGGCGAAGUUUUGGGCCGGAAUCUCUAUCGGCUGUUGGAUCUUUUCCAAGGACAGGGACGGCCCAAUCCGAUCCGGAUUCGAUUCGCUUCUUUUUCGGAUCCCCCGAUUUCUCCUCCAUUUUCAUCCAUUUUCAUUUUUAUUCCCCCGUGCUCUUUUAUUUAUUUAUAUUAUUUAUUUUUGCUCUUUUAUUUAUUUAUUAAUUUAAUUUGCUCUCGCAUCAGUGUGUUCAAAGAGGAGGAGGAGACAGGAGAGGGAGAAACAGACGAGUGGAAGUUUUUCGCGAGUGAGGGGUUCACCGAGCGCGCUUUCUCUCUCCUCUUUCUUCCCCUUUCUCCUAGGUCUCCGAAUCGAUCGUCGUCGGAGACUCUCGCCGAUUGGGAUGUUGGCAAGAUUUGGAAGAAUUGAUUAAAAAGAUGUGCUUUUGGAACCCUUUUGUGGAAGCUUGGAGUUUAUUUCUGUGGAAGAAUUGAUAAAAAGAUGUCUUUUCAAAGUAUUACUCAAGGAUUACCUCAGAGAGACUUACAGAGCUGUUAUACCUCAGCAUAUGGGUUGAUUAUGUUGAACAUUUGUUUAUAUUCUUCAUCAAUGUCGAUCUUUAUGAAUGAUUGCCUAGAGCCUUCAUUUAACCCUGAGCAGCCUCUCUGCUUGUGAUCCUUGUGGGGCAUGGUUGCUGGACUUGGAUACAAGUCCCAAAAAAAGUGGAAAAGAAGUUUUGGUGCCUUGAAAGUUAAAGGCUUGUCAUGAGGUUGAGAAUGUUGUCUUCGUAGUUUGAUUUUGUAAACAUUUCUGACCAAUAUAUAUGUGUGGACUUCACUUUGUCAACUUCUGCGCAUAAAAUUUGUAGCUGUAAGGGUCAUUAUCUGGCGUUUUGAAACCAUUUCUUGUCCCAUGGAGCCUAAAAUUCUGAUGCCCUUUAGAAGGGUGGGAGGAGUUUUGCUAUCACUCACCAUUUCCUGUGUUACCAAAGUAUAUCUUGCAAUUAGAGCUUUCUUAUUGUGUUCUGAAAAUCUGUGUAGCUGAAUCACUCAAGGAAAAGAGCUCUGUUUUUGGGUUCUGUUACCACUGUUGUAGAGAACUUUGAUUGUUCUAUGUUACCAUUUUAGGAAUCUUAAAAGCAUCUCUCCAAAAUGGUUGUUUCCCAGUCCCCAGUGGCACGGAUAGACCGGCUAAUGGGAGUUGUCUGUUUCCAGAUGACAAAGGACAGCAAUGUCAUCUUGAAUUUGUGGGCGACAAAUUUAGAAAGGUUCCUCGAUCUUGUCGAGAAAAGUUGCCACCAAAUCCACAAGGAAACCUUGGUUCAUAAGGCUGCUUUGAGAGCUUGAUAAUGUUCUUAGUUGAAUGAAUGAUCUCUCUCCCCUUGAGCGUCCCUCGAUCUCUCACCAAAAGAGAAGCGGAAUAAUGUUGUUUCACAUUGUGGCCUGAAGUGGGACUGAAGAUGUUUAUCAUAUCUCUCGCGCAGCUGGCUUUAAUUUGAUUGCUUAUUUUGCAGGGGGACCAGAUCUGGGUCUUGUGUGGACUGAAAUGAUACAAUGAGUACGCUUUCUGCAUAGGAAUUAGGAAUUUAUAUUGGUCUUUUCAUCUUUCCUCUUCAUCCCUCCUUUUCAUUGAAGAUUUUUGAGCUCUCAGGGUCCAAAACUUGUGCCAAUGGAAAUAGUAUCAGCACAAGAUGUGCACUCAAUGCAACAGAAUGAGCAUGUUAAAAUCUGUUUGGCAUUACAAAUUUUGCUGGUGCUUAUAUUUUUUUAACAUUGGGGAUAACAUUAGCUCUCCAUAGAAAAGGCGAAUGGAUGUUCUUUUUUUAUAUCAUUUCACAUUUGAAUUUCAUCUUCAGCAGAGAGAGAGCGUGUUUCUUUUGGACCCAAUCUUGGCCAUUGGCGGUUCUAAAAACCUGUUUCUAGGGAGCUUCACUCAAUUAGAUCUCCGAGUCCAGUGAAUGUCAGAUGAAUGGCACACUCUCAUGGAAGGAUGAGAAGCAACUCGAGUGAAAAACCCUUCGUCUCUACCCUCUGAAGGCUGAUUACUUCAUUAAUAUCAUUAUGUAGAGCUUUCGAUACUUUAUCUCUUUUCAUUUUUUGCAAGUGUACAAAAAAGCUUAUGUCAAUUACAACAGUCCAAAGUUUACAUCAACGCAAAUAAUAUAGAAGAAAUAGAGCGAUUAUCUAUAAGUUGCUCA